CCCUUAGAUGUCCGGGGCCGCACGCGCGCUACAAUGGAUGAAUCAACGCGUCAUCCUGGCCCGAAAGGGUUGGGGAACCGCUGAACCCCAUCCGUGGUUGGGAUUGGGGUUUGUAAUUAUUCCCCAUGAACUAGGAAUUCCCAGUAAGCGCGAGUCAUAAGCUCGCGUUGAUUACGUCCCUGCCCUUUGUACACACCGCCCGUCGCUACUACCGAUUGGAUGGUUUAGUGAGAUCCUCGGAUUGGUCACGGCACGGUGGCAACACUGCGUCGGUGUGCCGAGAAGACGAUCAAACUUGAUCAUCUAGAGGAAGUAAAAGUCGUAACA
rnacentral:rRNA from 1 species